GCCUGAUGCAGCGACGCCGCGUGAGGGAUGACGGCCUUCGGGUUGUAAACCUCUUUCAGCAGGGAAGAAGCGAAAGUGACGGUACCUGCAGAAGAAGCACCGGCUAACUACGUGCCAGCAGCCGCGGUAAUACGUAGGGUGCGAGCGUUGUCCGGAAUUAUUGGGCGUAAAGAGCUUGUAGGCGGUUUGUCGCGUCUGCUGUGAAAAUCCGGGGCUCAACCCCGGACUUGCAGUGGGUACGGGCAGACUAGAGUGUGGUAGGGGAGACUGGAAUUCCUGGUGUAGCGGUGAAAUGCGCAGAUAUCAGGAGGAACACCGAUGGCGAAGGCAGGUCUCUGGGCCACUACUGACGCUGAGAAGCGAAAGCAUGGGGAGCGAACAGGAUUAGAUACCCUGGUAGUCCAUGCCGUAAACGUUGGGCGCUAGGUGUGGGACUCAUUCCACGAGUUCCGUGCCGCAGCUAACGCAUUAAGCGCCCCGCCUGGGGAGUACGGCCGCAAGGCUAAAACUCAAAGGAAUUGACGGGGGCCCGCACAAGCGGCGGAGCAUGCGGAUUAAUUCGAUGCAACGCGAAGAACCUUACCAAGGCUUGACAUAUACCGGAAACAUCCAGAGAUGGGUGCCCCUUUUGGUCGGUAUACAGGUGGUGCAUGGUUGUCGUCAGCUCGUGUCGUGAGAUGUUGGGUUAAGUCCCGCAACGAGCGCAACCCUCGUUCUAUGUUGCCAGCACGUGAUGGUGGGGACUCAUAGGAGACUGCCGGGGUCAACUCGGAGGAAGGUGGGGAUGACGUCAAAUCAUCAUGCCCCUUAUGUCUUGGGCUUCACGCAUGCUACAAUGGCCGGUACAAAGGGCUGCGAUACCGCAAGGUGGAGCGAAUCCCAAAAAACCGGUCUCAGUUCGGAUUGGGGUCUGCAACUCGACCCCAUGAAGUCGGAGUCGCUAGUAAUCGCAG
rnacentral:rRNA from 1 species